ensembl:lncRNA
GGGGGGUCGAAGACUACGAAGGUCUUCCAAAGAAAUGAUAAAAUGAGAAGGGAUAUUCUUCAUGAUUAUACACACACACACACACACACACACACACACACACACACACACACACCAGCAAAGAACUUACAAAGGUGAUUUCAAGAUUCAAUACAAGAAACUUUAUAAAGCAAACAACAUAAAAAUAAUACAAAAACUGUAUUUUUUUGUAAGGUGUUCUUUACCUCAUGUUUUUUAUAGAACUUCAGCAGAAGAGAAGAAAGAGAAGUGGUAAAGAGAACGAAAGGCAGUGAUAAAGAAGGAUUUAUAUCUUCACAUAGCGGAGAAUGGAACUAAAUAUAAAAUCAAACCACCACCACGCAAUAUACUAAAGUAUUGUAAUCAAUUACCAAUUCACGGUACAAACUGAAGGAAGAAGUUAUAUUUUAGCACAACCUUACGCCAGCUGUAAAAUUGAUCAUGCAUAUUAAUGCAGCUGUACACAUUUAUAUAUACUCCACUACAAGGACAAACCACUUAUUCAAAACCCCACUGAAGUAAAAGUAAUAUGUAAAAUGUUUUAAAAGGUAGUUAUAUAUUGAAAGCAAGGCCAGUCGAUUGGUGCGGUACCUUUAAAAAGUCACACAUUAAACUCACAUGUGACUGUUACCAUGGAAACGAUAGGAAGCAUACAGAUACAGAUUGUGUGUCAUUUGCAAUAGUAGCACAUAUUUUUAGUGAAUUAAGGCCGCACAAGGAUUUGAAUAUUAGUAACAUGAACAUUAACACGAGAGGUUGCUGGUUUUCUCUCCGUCGAAUACAGGUGAAGAAAACCCUUCUUUCAGUUUCAUCUCAUUUGUUUCUAAGCGGGAACGCAGCAUCGGGGGGAAAAGAUAGCAGAGCUCUGUUAAAUGUUAUUUUGCAUUAAGAAAGAUCCCGUUGCUUUGAUGCAACUUUGUGUCGUCAAGAAUAUUAAAAUAUCUGGAAAAGAAGCAGCGCUCGGUUUAAAUGGCAAAGAGCACUGCCCAGAUUGUCCCUAUGACCUGGAUCUCCACACUACACAAAAUAAGACGUGAUUAUCCCGUUAACAUGGAUGUGUGCACAUGUAAGAAGACAAUUAGAAUCAGCACUCAUGGCUGAGAAACGAAGCUAAUGUCGUUAGCUGAGGCCGUUCAGAGGGCCAGAAGCUGCAGCUUCAGCCCCCUGAGAGCGGAGAAGGGGGGGAGGCCCUCGAAGCCCAGCAGCUGCCGGGUGGAGGUCUCCCAGCUCAGACCAAACUCCAGCCGGCUGUAGACGCACGGGUACCGGCGGUCCGCCCAGCAAACCCAGUGCACCGCCCGCUUCACCUCCUCCCAGCGCGCCGGCCUGGCCGGGAAAAAAAAAAGAACCACAGGUUUAAACCGGGAGGAACAGAAGUCCUGAUAAGGGACAGAGUGCGUCUCACAGACCUGGGCGGGGGGGACUCGUCCAGGCUGAAGAGCGUGCGGAGCAGUUUGCCCUCCUCCAGCUUCUCCACCCUCAUCAGCUGCAGGACCAGAAGGGUUGCCAGCAGCCUGAGGAUGUCAGUGUGGGCCCUCACACCUGCAACACGACCACGGUGUUUGCAGAAUAACACAGUUAUCGAUCCGUAAGUACGAAAAACCCACAAGGGUUAAUAAUAUUGCUCAGCGCGCAACACAAACUGAGCUAUGGCGAUAUUUCCAUAGCCUCUCCUCUUGUAUCCAAAUAAUAUAAAUAUAGCGUAGGCGUCAACAGAUAUUUUCAGGUGGCUAAAAUAAGUUAAAUGUUUACAUUGGUGCAUUGUGGUACUUUGAGUUAAAUGCAAUGUGUGAAUAAAAACAGACCCCCUCUCUCCAGAAAGCUGUCAGAAUCGAUCAAAAGGAUGUGAAACCAGUUCCCACUGGAGGAGCGACACUGGUCGGGAGUCCUCACCUAGAGACCGGAUGCCCUUGUUUUUCAGGAACUCGUUGGCGAAGAGGUCUACGUCGACAUUGACGAGUUCACCCAGCUGUGUGGUCAACUCCCAGAAGCCCUCCUGCAACACGGACACAUUCUUUAUGCUUCACCUCCCGGAUGCUCAGGGCCAACGAUUACACCACGUUGGUUAAACGUGGCUGUCAGCAGAGCGCCGCUAGCGGGACGCACCUGGACGUCGCUAAAAGAGCUGCGGGAAACGCUCAAGUUGAAUUUAGCGAGUUCUCCAGCGUGCAUUCAUUUGGGAUUUUGUAGCUUACCGAAUGUUGCAUCAGGAAGACGUUUGUCCACUUGAGACGGAGCCGUUCAGGUUCCGCUCUCGCACCUCUGAGACAACAAGCGACAAACGGCCGUUUCACAACAAUCAUUAUCGGGUUCGAGCGCAAAAUAAUUAUGUGAGGAAAUGACUUUGGACUCACAUCUGGGGUCGACGAUGUGACGCAGAUCUGUGCUCCAUUGAACACCGCCUGUCACUCACAUACAAGCCAUAAACCGCUGGCAAGUUUGAAGCUAUUCCUGAACUCGAGAGACGUCUUGCUCUGCGAGAUGGAACCGGAGGGCCGACUGUCAUUGGCUGAUCUUGUUUGAGGGAUGGGAAUUCAGCCAUUGAGCCAUCGCAACUGGAACCUAAAUAGGACUGUUCUGGACCUGCGAUCAGACUUGCGAGCCGUCUUGAUCGUGCCUCGACCUGUUUAAACAGCUUCUUUUUUGGGGACUGAACAGAGUCCGCAAGGACACGCAACUGUUGCUGUUGGCUGGAAAUAUCUGGGGACGGCGAGUCGAGAUUAGUUGCCAGGAAGCACGUUUCCAGAUCACUUUCUAAUCUCUCGCCAGGACACUGAGGCUCAUCCUCAACGCCCCCCAUGCUGCUCCACGGGGUGCGAACCUCUACUGAAUCGAUUAGAACGGAACCUGCAGGUUGAUUGACAGGUUGUAACCCUGAGAAUGCUGAACCAAAGGCCAGGUCUGACCUGGCAGAACCAUAAUGGGGCCAUAUUGGGUGGUGGGCUGCAGAUUGGGGUUCCCCACAUGAACCUCGGAACGGACGAGGAGGAGGAGGAAGGAGGGCUGCAGAUUGGGGUUGCAGAAGUGAACCUCCGAACGGACGAGGAGGAGGAUAAUAAGAAGAAGAAGAAGCAGAAGCUGGAGGAUGACAAUAGGAAACUUCCUCACUGUCCACCUCCUCUCUGACCUUCUGCCUUUCACUCCUCCUUUUCAAGCAAACUGCACCCUGCAACAAAAGAGAAGUGAAGAGAAAGUACUCAGUCUGCUCAGUAAAUGAGAACAUCACUAGCUUUUCCUCACAGAUAAAUGGAUUUCUAUAUAAUCAGUCACAUUGCUCUCACAUUCGAUGCCUCAGACUUGUGAGUAAAGGGUGGUGAACAGGCUGGAGAGAUGCUUUCAGUCAUCUGAGGAACGGAACAUCAGAGGGACAAAUAGUAAAUCACAACAGCAAAACGCCCCCCCACACGAUGACACUACACACUGUGGAGCGUUACCAUUAUAUCGUCAUAACAUGCGUUUGGAUAAUAAUCCUCCUCCACAUCACUGCUGAGCUGUAACAAGAGAGACAAAUGCAGCUUAUAAAAGUGUCAUUAAGUCAAUCACAAGAUCUUCCCACAUGAUUACACUUCACCCCGUGUGAUGUUGCCAUGUCUCCCAAGAAGACAUCCGUCCCCUCAACAUCCAUUUCUACCUGGAACAGAGAGACAAAUGCAGCUUAAAGUGAGUAUCGGUAAAUCACAACCACACAGCGGGAUUACACGGGUCAAGUUACCAUCGAUAGACAACAGCCAACCGGGGACUCGUCUUCACUAGGAGACGUCCGGGUCCAGUCGAGGUAGGGGAGGAAGUCCACGUCUUCCUCUGAGAUCAGCUUGGGGAUGUCGGUGACGCCCUCCUCGGUUUGUGUCGAGUUCUAAGACGAAGGAGAUGAGUCGGGUUUUGUUCACUCACUACAGUGCAGGGUGUAAACAGGGGGGGGACGGGGACGGG